UUUUUUUUAGCCACAAGUUUGCUAGCUAACUGUACUGAAUAUUUAUAUUUAUUAGCUAGCUAACUGUACUGAAUAUUUAUAUUUUCCUUCUCAAACAGCGAGUAUAGUAAAUGUUACAGAUUUAACAAACAAAUAUGUCUGUAUGUUGACUGCUCAAAAAGCAAAUACUUGUAUAUACAGUAUAACUCAUUUAGAAUAAGAAGUGCGAUCAGGACAGGUAUCUGAAGUUACUGUAUAUAAUAUAAAAGGUAUUUGACACAAAACAUCUGCAAUCAGGACAGGUAUCUGAAAUAAUAACAGUAUGAAUGUAAUCUGACAUAAAACUCCUGCGAUCAGGACAGGUAUCUGAAGUUACUGUGUAUAAUAUAGUAGGUAUUUGACAUGAAACUCCUGCGAUCAGGACAGGUGUCUGAAGUUGUAACAGUAUGAAUGUAAUCUGACACGAAACACCUGCAAUCAGGACAGGUAUCUGAAGUUACUGUAUAUAAUAUAAAAGGUAUUUGACACGAAACCACUGCGAUCAGAAGAGGUAUUCGAAGUAAAUGGCUUUUCCCAAACUGCGCAUGAUCGGUGACCUAUGCAGAUUCUCAAAUAGGCCACGCCUAUUUCGAUUACGCUGUCCUGAAACCCCCGGAAAAAAGUGAAUCCCCGGAAGUAAUACCUGCUAUUUCCGCAUCCAUUGGCCCCGGUGGCCUUCCAUAACACCCACAUAUAAAAUAAAAGCGAAACUGCAAAAGAAAACUUCGUUAUAAGAGUUCAUUUCAAUUAGAAGGAGAAUAUUCAGUGUUUACUGCAGCCAAAAAGUAGCUUCAACCGAGGGUUUAUUACGGACCGUCUAUCUCUGCGGUAUUAGCAGCUAGUUGUACAGAUUUAAAAAUAGUCCUCUUAGUCAUUUAGUUUAAGUCCCUGGUAUGUUGGUUUAUUUACUUAUCUAAUAAAUUAAACAUUUGUCUUUUAUUGUGGUCAAAAUUAGCCGGCAGAUAGCGAGGUCAAACUGAUAUUGUCAGCAGGCAAGCUAGAUUAAAGCGCCGGUUAAAGUUAAUAAGUUAAUUGUGUGGAGAAGACAGCUAGUUGCGGUUAGCUAGCUGACCUAGUUAAGAAAGCAGCUGAUUUCAGCAUUGUGCAGCCUGGCUCGGUUAUAUAAGGCCUGCAUUACAGAUUUAUAUCAUUUGUGAAACAUAAAAAAACUAAUAACUAAAAAAAAAUUAAAAAUUAAUUGAAUGCCAGUAAAUUACCCUGCGUACAUGUUAUAAGGCUUGCUGGAACAGUAGGUGGAUGGAGCUCCAGUGGCGCAAUCGGUUAGCGCGCGGUACUUAUACAGCAGUACAAUGCAGAGCAAUGCCGAGGUUGUGAGUUCGAGCCUCACCUGGAGCAGAUGUUUUGAAAACCCAAUCACUAGUUUUGGAGUUAUUUCUGUAUGCUGGAUCGUAACUGAAGCUGUAAUGACUCAGAUAUUGUAUUACCCUACAGGUGGUCAAAAUGCACCGGUAAAGCAAAUAUAUAGAUACUACGACUAAACGCAAUGCCUAAAUACUGUCAGAUAAGUACUAGCUUUUUGCAUUGCAUAUUUCUGUAAAUGGUUACAGUUCUGAAGCUGAACCCUUUAGAGUUGUCCAACACAGAUUUUGAAAGGACAUAUUUGAAUUGUAUUUCAUUUGUUUCCCCCAUUUAUUCAUUUAAUUAAAGAAUUACAGAAGUAUGCACCUCUAAACCUGUUAGUAUUUUUUCCCUCAUUGUACUAACAUUUAUUUAACAGUACACAACUAGAUUUUGUGGCUGUUGUCAAAAACCUUCUUUAACUGACACUGAUUAUACCUGUUUUUGACAGCAGAGGGCACUAUAAGAUAAACUAUAAGGCAUUUGACUCCCCUUCAGAGUUCAGAGCCAUGUGGUGGCAGUGUUGUCCAAGGUAUUCUUAUGGACAGCAGGAGCAAUGGAGGCCAGGAUACAAUUAACAUGAGAUCAGUGGAAAGCGAUGUCUGUGCCGAGAAAGGAGCCGCUUUGAGCAGAACAAACAUUAACACACUGGAUCUGGUUUGCUGUGGAUCCAGAGGCUAUCCCAGGAGCACCGGGUGCAGGGUGGGAAUACACUGUGGACACCAGUCACAUCCAUCACAUGGUACCAUGCACACACAUUCACACACCCACUCACACUUCAUAGCUGAUCCUCACAUCAGCAUGUUUUUUGAGAGCUGAGAGGAAACUGGAGAAAUAGCAGGAAACCCAUAUGGACACAGGGAGAACAUGCACAGAACCUCCACACAGACAUUAACCCAAGCUCACGCUCGAACCAGGACCUGGGAGCUGUGAGGGGCAACAAAAGUAAAAUACAAAAUAUCGGAUAUAUUCUACAAUUCUCAAAAACUCUAAUGUGAUUGCAUUGUCAUCAGAUAUAAUUCAUUAGUUUAUUUGUGCUCAUAUACAGUGUGACAGUAAUUAGGUCGGCUGUUACCCCUGUCCUUUAGAUCAUGGACUUAAAUACAGCACACUUAAGGCAUUUCUUGUGAAAUCAUUGCUCUGCCCAUACAGGCCCACUGUCAAUGGCAAGUCAGCAGCAUCCAUCAUCACUGUGUUCUGUCUGCACUUGUGGUGUGUCAAGAGACCAUAUGCCUAUUUGGCUUUGGAACAUGGACAAGACCAAACACACAAUCAUCACUACAAUGCAUUUCAUUUAGCCAGACAUUCCAGUAAUGUUUCUCGUACAUUAAAAUUUCCUUUUUACAGUUUUUUUGAUUUCCUGUUCUUUGUGUUAUUUGUAUUUGAUUACUCUUUUAAGGCAAGACAUAAACAUGACAGUGUGAGAAAAGGCAUCAUGAGAUAUCUCUUCUUCCAUGAUACUUUUUCAUAACACAAAUUUUAGAUGAAAAGCUAAACUUCAAAGCUAAGAUAUUUUUAAUGGGGCAAGCUACAAAACAAAAAAAGCACAAACCCUCAUCAUAUUACACAUUUUAAUAAAGAAAAUGAUUUUAUUACAUGGACUGGCAUCCCAACCAGCAUGUAUUACUGCCUCUCACCUACUGUUCCUGGGAUAGGCUCUGGCCAAAAUGGUUACUGAAACCUAAUGAAAGAAGGAAUGAAAGAAUGAAUGAAUGAUUUUAUUAUUAAUUUUGUAAGCAGAUAAGAUAGAAAGCCCUUAAUUCAGUUAAUUGAAUGGAGAGAAGGCAUCCCUUUGUUUUUUAAAUUUGCAUUUUUUUGUUCUUUGUGUUUUCUUAUGAUUUCUUUUAUAAUCUCAAAAUUAGCAGUGAAACGAAAUAUAACCUGUUGAAUUUUGUGAAUCCACACAGCUAGAUCCCUGAAUGUGUAUUAUGGGCAGGUUUUUGUUACAGAUGUCAGUACCCUGACAACCUGCACUCUUAGUCUCCUUUGUAAAUCUCAUUUCUGGGCAGCUAAUGACAGAGAGCUGAGUCUUAACUUAUAAUUCUCAUGUGUCUCUGUUUAGCUGUCUUUGCUGCAUUGUGAGUUGCAACAGUUUAUUGUCUCAGUGGCCCUCAGGCAGUGCUCCUUAUGCUAGAAGAUAUGAUUAUUAUCAUUGUGACUGUUUUUUCCCCAGUGCUUCAGGCAGAUUGAUUAGGAAACGUCCCAAAACGACAUGAUGUCAUCACACUUGGCAUGAGGGACAACAGAUCUGAGGAGAAGUAUUGUCAAAAGUUGCCUUUUAAUGAAUGAAGGCAACUUCGUUGUUUUAGACAUCUUGCAGUAUUUGCCUCUAAUGUACUUUUGGCCUGUACUACAUAACUACUUGUGUGUUUCGCUCUACGCACGAAGCAUGCUUGAGUUACUGGAAUCAAGUGAAACCACUUGGAAGAAAAGUUCCAAGCUUGUACUAACUGGCAGAAGGAAAGUGUGGGAAGAGUAAGUGAAUUAUAUAGGGGGAGGCUGGAUUUCCGAAGCUUUCUGAGUUCCUACACUCAACCCAGAAAUCUCUUUAGCCUAAUUAAUUAUUACUCGAACUCACUGCUCCUGUGCCAGUCCUUUGACGGGUCUGCUUAAAUCAACAGCAGACACACCCACGGUUACUGGACCAUUAUUUUCAGAGUAUUCUGUGCCUUGUAAAUCUGCAAAUGCCAAGGUGUAUCUUGACAUUUCUGUAUAUGCAUAUGUCUCUAUUUUUCAUACGGCUUUCAUUCAGAAUUUUAAAUAAUUAUGCAUGUUCCCAGGCAUUUUCCUGUGACAUUUUAGUACGUGAGUUAGCUUGCUGAAACUCUGGAUUUAUAAUGUAAAUAACUGCAGAUGAGAAGCUCAUUUCCUUCCCAGAGAAUUAUUCAUUCAGUCAUUCAUCCUGAGCAUCUCAGCACGGGUGGCUCUUUUAAAAAGUGCCUCCCUUAAGUUCCCGUGUAAGGCUUCCUGGAAUGUUUUUCUCCCUGCAGCUUUUCAGAGCCUUUUAUCAGCAUAAACCCUGCUUUGCAUUUCUUUCUUUUUUUAUCUGACAGGCCAUACACACAUUAUGCACAGGCCUUUCUUUUCUAUUCUGGCUUUAGCAAUUGAACAGGACACCGCAAUACCACAUCCUCUGGACUCAUUGCCCACAUCCAGAUACCAUGAAUAAUGGAUUCUCAGUGAAAGUAUCCCGUUUGAUUUAUGUGUGUUCAAAGAGCCAGAUAGUGGGAAAGUGUUCAGAUGGUGGUCCAAUAUCACCCUUGUGGAGGACCUUUCUGUGCCAAGAUGCCUAAGCUCAUCUCAGCUAAGCUAUUUUGGAAUGAAGAUCUUAACAAUAUAGCCAGAAGAUAUAAACAUACAAAAUAAAAUAUGCACAAUAACAUUUAUGUGUAUAUAAUGUGUAAUGUUUUGCAUAUAUAAUGUUUGUACAUGUAAUUUAUGCGUCCAGAAGAAAAAGGUGAUUUAAAUUUUCACAGGUGCAGUUGCCUUCAAACAGAUGGUACACCAUAUUUAUAUUUACCUCUGCAUUCAGUUUUUCUUUCACAUUAGUUCAACAUUAGUCCAAUUAGGACUAGCGGAGUGGUGUAGAGUUUUGUCUACUACUGCGGAGUGGUGUAGAGUUUUGUCCAGAGCUCUUUACCUACAGGGUUGUCGGGGUAGACCACGAGGUUGCCUCAUCAUACAAGGUGGUUUGGAUCUUUCAGUAUUAUUUUCUGUGGCUUCAUAAAUGGUCACCGUGGCCUCAAAAUUGCAUAAUUCAAGCCAACUAAUACAAAUAAUUGAAUGAAUGGUUAAGGUUAGGGCUAGAGACUGGGUUACUAUUAAUGGCUAUAUGGUCAACCUGUUUGCAAUCAAUCCAACUAAAUC